UGCCCCCCGGCCCGGGAUAGCCCAGGGAAACCUGGAUUAAUACCGGAUGAGACGGGACCCGCGAAGGCGGGACCCGGGAAAGGCGCUGCGGCGCCGGCGGGGGAUGAGUCUGCGUCCCAUUAGCUAGACGGCGGGUAACGGCCCACCGUGGCGACGAUGGGUAGCCGGCCUGAGAGGGUGGACGGCCACAUUGGAACUGAGACACGGUCCAGACUCCUACGGGAGGCAGCAGCUAAGAAGUCUUCCGCAAUGGGCGAAAGCCUGACGGAGCCGACGCCGCGUGAACGAAGAAAGGCCGUGUAGGUUGUAAAGUUCUUUUCGGGAGGGGGAACAACCGUGGCAGGGAAUGGCCGCGGGAUGACGUGAAUCCCGGAAUAAGCCCCGGCUAACUACGUGCCAGCCGCCGC
rnacentral:rRNA from 1 species